CUAGUCGAGUGACACUGCGCCGAAAAUGUACCGGGGCUAAACAUAUUACCGAAGCUGUGGAUUGUCCUUCGGACAAUGGUAGGAGAGCGUUCUAAGGGCGUUGAAGCAUGAUCGCAAGGACAUGUGGAGCGCUUAGAAGUGAGAAUGCCGGUGUGAGUAGCGAAAGACGGGUGAGAAUCCCGUCCACCGAUUGACUAAGGUUUCCAGAGGAAGGCUCGUCCGCUCUGGGUUAGUCGGGUCCUAAGCUGAGGCCGACAGGCGUAGGCGAUGGAUAACAGGUUGAUAUUCCUGUACCACCUAGUAUCGUUUUAAUCGAUGGGGGGACGCAGUAGGAUAGGCGAAGCGUGCUGUUGGAGUGCACGUCCAAGCAGUAAGGCUGAGUGUUAGGCAAAUCCGGCACUCGUUAGGCUGAGCUGUGAUGGGGAGAGGAAAUUGUUUCCUCGAGUCGUUGAUUUCACACUGCCGAGAAAAGCCUCUAGAUAGAUAACAGGUGCCCGUACCGCAAACCGACACAGGUAGUCAAGAUGAGAAUUCUAAGGUGAGCGAGCGAACUCUCGUUAAGGAACUCGGCAAAAUGACCCCGUAACUUCGGGAGAAGGGGUGCUCUUUAGGGUUCACGCCCAGAAGAGCCGCAGUGAAUAGGCCCAAGCGACUGUUUAUCAAAAACACAGGUCUCUGCUAAACCGUAAGGUGAUGUAUAGGGGCUGACGCCUGCCCGGUGCUGGAAGGUUAAGAGGAGUGGUUAGCUUCUGCGAAGCCACGAAUCGAAGCCCC
rnacentral:rRNA from 1 species